GUGUCUGCUCCCUCCCCCCACACCCCACACGCACCUAGCUGAGGCCCUUCGGGACCGGCGGAGCUGCUGCGGGGCCGGGCCGCGGCGGGAGCGGGGCCCUUCUUUGUGUCCUCGGCGUCGCUGUAGCGCCGCGCCCAGUGGUUGAGCUCCUCGCGGUCGGCCUCCUGGCACCUGCGCAGCACCGUGAGCGAGCGCCGCGUCUUCUCCACCAUGUCCAUGAUGCAGUUCAGGAGCUGGGGGCGGGCGGCGCAGCCUUCAGCACCUCAGAGGGACCGGGACGCACCAGACACUCCCCCAGCCCACUCGGCCAGAGCCCCGGACAGGAUGGGUGCCCGACCAGCCCACCGCCCGUGAGAGCUCCAGGACUGAAGCCGCAGAGGCCACUCCCACAGGUCACCAGAAACUAAGACGUGAGUGACGCCCGGCAGUGGCCGACUCUUCCGCCGUGGCUGUGCCCAUGGGAGACGUGAGUGACGCCCGGCAGUGGCCGACUCUUCUGCGGUGGCUGCGCCCACGGGAGACGUGAGUGACCCCGGCAGUGGCCGACUUCCACGGUG
ensembl:lncRNA novel transcript, antisense to CBFA2T3